UAGAUUUAUGUAUGUAUUUUGCAUGUACAUGUGACUGUGUAUUUAUUAUGUUUUGCUCUAUCUGUGUAUAUUAUGGAAGUGUAGGACAGUGACCUGGUGUUCAUUUUUUUUAGUUUCUUAGACUUUUGCACUUUUGGCAUUUUUUCAAAUAAUUAAGGUGGCACAUAAAAGGAAUUUUUGUGAUGGACAAGUGAAAGGAGGACAUUUUCUGUCUUGUCAUCUCAUGUUUGGUAGUGUAUGUGUUCCUCUGGAUUGCCCCCCCCCCCCUUUCUUGGCUGCAGGGUGAUCAGUUUGUAGUUUUGUUGUUUCUAUGUUGUAGCUACACAAAGGUCUAUGUUUUCUCUUUUUUCGCUCUUUGUAGUUUCAUCAGAAUUACUCGCUGCGACUCACUUUCUAAUGGUUUCUAGUUUUUGUACUUAGAGUUACUUCCCUUAGACCUGCUGACCAGACAGGUAGAAUUUCAACAUGAUGAUAUCUUAACAGUUGUGACCUUUGGCUUCUGAUUUUUUUUCAUAAAUUAUUGUAAUGACCUUGAACUGCAUGUAUGACAUUUGACCUUUAUUAUAUUUACAUGUAAUAUUAUGUAAUAUUGAAAAAACAUGUAUUCCACCCUUGGCGGAUCCAUUUUUCAUACAUUUAGCUAUGUAGAAGACAUGUAAUUAAGGAAAUUUUUAGAAAACUUGAAAAAUAUUGUUGUUUCUUUCAUGAUUUAUGCUUAAUUUGACUAAUUUUAUUGAUUUAUUUUCAUUUAAGCACUUUAGAGGAAUUUCAUCUUUCAGCUUUCUUGGCCCCGGGAGUGCUCGGUCUCUGAUCAGCAGGGGCAUUUUCUCUAUAUAAGAAGAAAAUGGAGACUCCCUACCCACCCGAUGUAUUUUGUCGGACAGUUUUCUGUACAUUGCAGUCACCAAUAUAUCCAAAUAUCAUCACCGGCCCAGACGUCAUUCACUCCUUUGAACUGUGCUGGUAGCAGUAAGGUGUCAUCAUUUGAGAUGGUCACAGUAUCCAAUACACUGAAGUCACAGGACUCAAAUUUCAUACAUGUUCACAGCACUUUAGAGGAAUUUCAUCUUUCAGCUUUCUUGGCCCCGGGAGUGCUCGGUCUCUGAUCAGCAGGGGCAUUUUCUCUAUAUAAGAAGAAAAUGAAGACUCCCUACCCACCCGAUGUAUUUUGUCGGACAGUUUUCUGUACAUUGCAGUCACCAAUAUAUCCAAAUAUCAUCACCGGCCCAGACGUCAUUCACUCCUUUGAACUGUGCUGGUAGCAGUAAGGUGUCAUCAUUUGAGAUGGUCACAGUAUCCAAUACACUGAAGUCACAGGACUCAAAUUUCAUACAUGUUCACAGCACUUUAGAGGAAUUUCAUCUUUCAGCUUUCUUGGCCCCGGGAGUGCUCGGUCUCUGAUCAGCAGGGGCAUUUUCUCUAUAUAAGAAGAAAAUGGAGACUCCCUACCCACCCGAUGUAUUUUGUCGGACAGUUUUCUGUACAUUGCAGUCACCAAUAUAUCCAAAUAUCAUCACCGGCCCAGAUGUCAUUCACCCCUUUGAACUGUGCUGGUAGCAGUAAGGUGUCAUCAUUUGAGAUGGUCACAGUAUCCAAUACACUGAAGUCACAGGACUCAAAUUUCAUACAUGUUCACAGGUAGGUGUAUAGUCUUUGAAAUUACCACAAUUGACUAAUUCUGGGACAGGUAAGUAUGUAAGUAUAGGAAUGAGAGCACCAAAUCCCCGGAUGCACACAUGGCUUUGUUUGUUAUGGAACAUUAAACAGAAUACUGAAUGGGUAGGCGUUACGCCAUUGGCUGAAAUCAGGUAUUUA